UACAGCUAACAUGUGACCUGUCACCGAAUAACUGCACGUGGGGUGUCACGCCGCGGUGACGCAAGCUAAGAACACAGACUAAAUUACCCAUACACCAUUGCCUCUGUAAACUAAUGCUGAAACCCACAGUAAGGCACAAAAAGCGACAAAGUCCAGCGUUCGCACGCGGAAACUUCUCCGGCCAACGAAGAGGAGGGUAGAAAUUAAGGGAGAAAGGAGGAGGAGGAGGAGGAGCCAAUUGUGGGUUGCUGAGAUCCAAAGAUGCACGCCAAGACCGACUCCGAGGUCACGAGCAUCGCGCCUUCGUCGCCCGCCCGGCCGGUGUACUACGUGCAGAGCCCGUCGCGUGACUCCCAUGACGGCGAAAAGACGGCGACGUCGUUCCACUCCAGCCCCGUCCUCAGCCCGGCCCACUCCCCCUCCGCGUGAGAGGCUUGAGGCCAUUGGUUUUUAAAGCCUCUCACGCGGAUCGGAUUCGCCAAAUCCGAUCUCGCGUGAGAGGCUUUAAAAACCAAAGGCCUGAAAUUUGGGUAUUUUUUUGUCCGAGAUGGAGAGGAAGAAGAGCCUGUGAGCGCGACGGACGAAGAAGUGCGGACUCCAGUUUCGAUUUCCGCCGGCAAGACCUCGAAGUCAGCUCCUUCUCGCCCUCCCCCUCCUGCCUUCGGUUUCAACGGCGGCGACGACGAAUAUGACAUCGAGAGGAAAAUCUCACGACAGACGUCCAAGAACAAACCUCUUCAGAAGAUUGAGGAGCAGCACAAAAAGGCAAUGGAAGAGGAUUCGACUACGACGGGACGGGAUUUACGACGAGAUGAAUGGGAAGAUUGCGCGCCCAGGUUCAUGAUCGAACGGAGAGAAAGGUACACUUUUGCCUACGUUUGAACGAAAAGAUCCUUUUGAUUACGCUGAUGAUAUAUACAGGUUCAUGAUCGCAUGGAAUUGCCAUAUUGCCAUGUUUGGUGGUGAUAUAUACAGGUUUUUAGUGUCAUCACUGUAUGUCAUGGUUCUUUGCUUGGA